GGAUGUCAGGGUGACCUCGCUGCAACAUCUGUCACCCCAUUGAUUGCCAGGAUUGAGUCAGCUGAUCUGGCUGGCUAGGCAGGUGCCCCCUCCUCCCUCACUGGUCCCCCACACUCUGUAGGAGAGGAAGACCUUCCCCCCAGAGGAGAGGACCGGUCUUCGGUCAAGGGUAUACUAGUAGCUGCGCUCCCCUGCUAGAACCUCCAAACAAGUUCUCAGUGGUGAUCAACAUGGCUAACCUUACUGGUCCCCAACAACUCUCAUUUCCCAUUGAAUAAAU
ensembl:misc_RNA 7SK 7SK RNA